CAGAAGUAGAAGAAGACACACCGGGACUGAUGAUAUGCUACCAUGUUGUCAUGCAAGGACAAUUGAAUGCAUGCGAUCUGCUACAUCACUACUGUAAUGGUAUAAAAGCCAGCAUCGUUCAUUCCUAGUUGUCCAAGAUUGCAGCAAACGUUUCAGAAGACUUGAUGUACACUGAUGCAGCUAUUGACCAGG